rnacentral:misc_RNA from 1 species
AAACAUCAAAAAGAAAUCUGUUUCUUUUUGGAACUGGAGUGUGCUGGUCUCGCCCUUUGAAAUGUUUUUCUUUUCUUUUGGGUUUACCAGCUCCUCUAAAAUGCAUUUAGCAGAGUGCACCCCCCCCCCACGCUUGCACGGCGCUCUUCUUGGCCAUUGAUAGCUGUCUAUGUCCAAGUUGCCGAGCAGGUUAAGGAAAGGCCUCUGCUUAUAAUGGUCCACCAUGGACAACAUCAUUUGCUUGACA